GAAGAAACACUGGUAUGUAUACCAGCUUGACGGUACUGUAAGAAUAAGGACCGGCUAACUCCGUGCCAGCAGCCGCGGUAAUACGGAGGGUCCAAGCGUUAUCCGGAAUCAUUGGGUUUAAAGGGUCCGCAGGCGGUCAAUUAAGUCAGAGGUGAAAUCCCAUAGCUUAACUAUGGAACUGCCUUUGAUACUGGUUGACUUGAGUCAUAUGGAAGUAGAUAGAAUGUGUAGUGUAGCGGUGAAAUGCAUAGAUAUUACACAGAAUACCGAUUGNGAAGGCNGUCUACUACGUAUGUNCUGACNC
rnacentral:rRNA from 1 species